UAGUGAGUUCCAAGAGUCAAGUGUGCAUCCACCACUCUCUAGAGCCUUGUUUGGGUCAAGUGAGAGUUCUUUGCUUGUUACUCUUGGUGAUCGCCAUUGUUGACGGUUCUUAAGUAUCAAUUUUAAUUAUCAAAUAAACAAGAGAAAGGACCAAUAUGCAACCAACACCUAGAAUUAGGAUUUGAUCCGGCAGAAUUCCACGAGUUUUGUUGUUUAUCUAUUUCUGCAGGGGGUUAUCAGGAAAUAAGGAAGAAAGGCCCACAUGUCGGGAUUACAUAGAGAUAUCAACGCACCGCGCGAUUUUACAUCAUCUAGAAGACUCCAGAAGCCACGAGACCGAAGCGGAGGCGAAACGGGGCCAGGCCCAGGGCGCCCGCCCUGGAGGCCUGGGCGCCCGCCCCCCUCUGGAUUGCUUUCGGGACUCUCUUCGUUCGGGAUAUUCCACCGACCUAUUGGAUCAAGAAAAACAUAGUACCACCUCGCCUAUCGACCCAAAAACACAUAGAAGGGGAGGACUAUAUAAGCAAGGCCCCCCUGGCCCCUGGAGAAGACAUGAAGAAAUUAUCAUAGAGACUGAGGGGUGCCCUCGAAGGAAAACCUCUUCUCUAAUUAAUAUUUCUUUUUAGGCUUAGCAACCAAUGUAAGGUAGAAAUAGAUCUUCUAGUUUCUACUAGAUUGAGAGAGAUAGAGUGGAGGAAGCCCGGCC
rnacentral:lncRNA from 1 species